rfam:Gossypium hirsutum cultivar TM-1 chromosome 2, whole genome shotgun sequence
UUAGCGGCGCUUUUAAGCGCCACUAAAGACAUUAAAAAACGCUGCU